ACACUUGGGCUAAGGGUCAAGUUGGUAAUUUCCUCGCGCAUCUCCCACUCCUAGAGCCCAGCCCAGGUACCAUAUACGCAUCCAAAAUAAAGAGCCUUGAAUACUAGAAGAAAAGCAACUAUCCCGAUAUGAAAAGUGGUAUCAAAAGUCUCUGAUGCAUGGUUUGUUGGCAUUUUCA
rnacentral:antisense_RNA from 1 species